CAAAGAAGAUGAUGGGCAUCGAGGAACUUCCAGGUGUAGUUUGCUUCAAACGUGGCAAAGCUAGCCACCCGAGAAAGAUUGCCCUUACCUCUACUGCUGACCGCAGGCUGUCCAAACAAGCAGGAUACUGGGAAGUCAACCGCCAAUCUUUGCAGAGAUAAGGUGUGGGAUAAGAGGCUGCUUUGUUCGGCGCGGGUGACUAUGAGUUGCGUCAUGCAGUAGCAGGGGCGUACACCAGCUUCAGAUGGUAUAUCUGGGGACUCUGGAGAGGCUGUAAAUGGGAGAGCCCUGAGAGGAGCUGUGGCAGCAGCUGCUGCCCCUGCUGCUGCGUUUGCUGUUGCUGGAUUGCUGUAUCGCUGGAUAUUUUGACAAUGAAGAUUGGACUUGCCCCCAGGGAACCCAACACCUGUAAUAAACAGGAAGUAGUCUAAAGAGGUCUACCUUUCUCUCCUACCUAGUGUUGGAAGGGAUUAUGGUGGAAUAAAGGUUGGAAUAAAAUAAUAAUAAUGAUGAUGA